GACGAACGCUGGCGGCGUGCCUAAUACAUGCAAGUCGAACGCAGUGGGGACGGGUGAGUAACACGUGGGUAACCUCCCAUCAGAGGGGAUAACACUUGGAAACAGGUGCUAAACCGAUACUGAUGGAUGGACCCGCGGGGCAUUAGAUUGUAGGUGAGGUAAAGGAUCACCUAGGCGACGAUCCCUAGCUGGUCUGAGAGGAUGAUCAUCCACACUUGGACUGAGACACGGCCCAGACUCCUACGGGAGGCAGCAGUGGGGAAUAUUGCACAAUGGGCGCAAGCCUGAUGCAGCCAUGCCGCGUGUAUGAAGAAGGCCUUCGGGUUGUAAAGUACUUUCAGUCGGGAUGCGUUACCGACAGAAGAAGCACCGGCUAACUCCGUGCCAGCAGCCGCGGUAAUAC
rnacentral:rRNA from 1 species